rnacentral:lncRNA from 1 species
AUCAAUGAACUAAGAUCUUAUUCAUUCUGAUGCUCUUCACCGAUGUUAGAUUAUGAAUCAUCUUCAUUUCCAACAAAAAAACCACCAUCAUUAACUAUGCUAUUUUGUUGCUAAUAAAAUUGAAAAGUACAUAUUUCUUGGAACAUGUAUCAGUAGUGUGGUUGGUCAUUCUACAACAAAUGCAAAUUUUGGUGCUCUAUAAAAUAG